UGGAACUUAUACGAACAGGCUGCUUUGUACUCGGUCACUUCGCUUAAGUUUA
rnacentral:pre_miRNA from 1 species